rnacentral:lncRNA from 1 species
AGCCCACCCUUGGAGAACCACUGGGCUAUAGAAUGAUGUCAAGGGCUGGAGAGGGAGGCUACAGAGUGGGUCUAGGUCCAGGUACAGUCUCAGAACCACACUGCAAAACUGGCUUAGUCAGGUAGCUGCUGUAUCUGCUGCUUCCACUGUGAACUCAAAAACCACAUUGCCUGUGCUGCAGGCCGGAAAGCUGCUGAACCAGGAAGCUGUGCUGAUGCUGCUGACUGCCCCUGAGGUUAGAGAUUGACUAGACAUAGUGCCACUGUCAUCCCUGCUGGAGAAGGUCCGAAGCACCUCCACCUCUGUGCUUCCAGAGGGGCACUGUGGUGGCCACUUAAAAUGCUCAGGCUAUACCAUGCACUAGAGCAUCUACCUGGGCAAGGGAUAUGCUGUAUGACACUCUCCUGAUGCUGGGCAUGGCUGUGAGCCAAAGCACCCAGGCAGCCCUGCCAUCAGAAGGGUAAACCACGGACACCUGAUGCCUUCCUGAAGGAAGAGCACUACGCCUGCCAAACCAUCAAGCGUUGAUGCUCCAGCGCCUUCUACCCGUGGUUCUCCAGCCUCAGCAGAAGAGAGAGAAAUUGAUGACCCUGUCGUUGUAGCAUCCCCAUCACCCAGCAAUUAAUUUUAGUUCAAUGCUUCAAACGCUCUUCAGGCGCAGUGUGCGUUCAGCUGUGUCAGCUAAUGCAAAUGGGGGAUCUCAGAAGUCUUAAUGAAGUAACUAUCCCUGAACACUGGGAUCAAUACUCAGCAUCCAGCUGUCAAAUCAACACCAAGCGUUUCACUCGUCGCCCAGCCUAGAGUGCAAUGGCGCUAUUUCGGCUCAUUAUAACCUCCGCCUCCCGGGUUCAAGCAAUUCUUCUGCUUCAGCGUCCCAAGUAGCUGGGAUUACAGCCGCCUCCUGGAGCAGAUUGUUAAGCUGAUGCGAGUCUGGGCUCUGCCUCACCACUUGUCUCAGAGACAGAGUCUUGCUCUGUCACCUAGGCUGGAGUGCAGUGGUGCCAUCACAGCUCACUGCAGCCUCGACCUCCCCGUGCUCAAGUGAUCCUCACACCUCAGCCUCCCGAGUAGCCGCGAUCACAAGUUAAACAAACACAGUUCUUUACAUCAAUGCUUCCGUCCCUGGCCAUCUGGUCUCCUGUCCCCUCCAGACCCAAAACCAUGGGCUGGGCUGCAGCAAAAUGAGGGUGUACUCAGUGCACUGAGGCCCAUGUACCAUGAGAGAUGGAGAAAGCCUUGGCCGGAGUUUAAGGAUUUGGGGCUGGGCACAGUGGCUCGUGCCUGUAAUCCUAGCACUUUGGGAGGCCAAGGCAGGAGGAUCACUUGAGGCCAAGAGUUUGAGACCAGCCUGAGCAACAUAGUGAGACUCUCAUUUCUAAAAAUAAAAAAGUUAGGCCUGGCACAGUGGCUCAUGCCUAUAAUCCCAGCAGUUUGGGAAGCUGAAUCAAGAGGAUCACUUGAGGCCAGGAGUUUGAGCCCAGCCUGGUCAACAUAGUGAGACUUUAUCACUACAAAAAGUUUUUAUUUAUUUAUUUUUUUUGAGACAGGGUCUCGAUUCAUCACUUAGGCUGGAGUGGAGUGUGCAAUCACAGCUCACAGCUCACAGCAGCCUCGACCUCCUGGGUUCAAGCCAUCCUCCCACCUCAGCCUCCUGAGUAGCUGGGACUACAGGCAUACACCACCAUGUCUGGCUAAAUUUUUGUACUUUUUGUAGAGACAGGGUUUCGCCAUGUUGCCCAGGCUGGUCUCUAGCUCCUGGGCUCAAGCAAUCUGCCUGCCUCAGCCUCCCAGAGGCCUGGAACUACAGGCGUGAGCCGCUGCUCUUGGCCAUUUUUAAUUUAAGAGACAGAGUCUCGCUUUGUUACCCAGGCUGGAGUGCAGUACCCUUACUGCAGCCUUGAACUACUGGGCUCAAGCCAUCCUCCCACCUCAGCCUCUCAAGUAGCUGGGACUACAGGUGUGUGUCCCCAUGCCCAGCUGACUGAGCUACCACCAUGCCACUGCAUGCCAGUUGUGACAAAGUGAGACCCUGUCUCUAAAAAAUAAUUAAAUAAAAUGUUUAAUGGUGUUCUGGGUCCUUACUUCAUGGACACUUUCCACUAUGCAGCCUGCCACUGAUUUCAUGUAAAGGCAAAACCAAAAGAGAUCCUUUGCUAAAUUA